rnacentral:rRNA from 1 species
CCUACGGGAGGCAGCAGUGGGGAAUAUUGCACAAUGGGCGAAAGCCUGAUGCAGCAACGCCGCGUGAGCGAUGAAGGCCUUCGGGUCGUAAAGCUCUGUCCUCAAGGAAGAUAAUGACGGUACUUGAGGAGUACUGCCCGGCAAAUUCCUGGCCAGCAGCCGCGGUAAUACGUAGGGGGCGAGCGUUAUCCGGAAUUACUGGGCGUAACGGGUGCGUAGGUGGUUUCUUAAGUCAGAGGUGAAAGGCUACGGCUCAACCGGAGUAAGCCUUUGAAACUGGGGAACUUGAGUGCAGGAGAGGAGAGUGGAAUUCCUAGUGUAGCGGUGAAAUGCGUAGAUAUUAGGAGGAACACCAGUUGCGAAGGCGGCUCUCUGGACUGUAACUGACACUGAGGCACGAAAGCGUGGGGAGCAAACAGGAUUAGAUACCCUUGUAGUC